UGGGGAAUAUUGGACAAUGGGCGCAAGCCUGAUCCAGCCAUGCCGCGUGAGUGAUGAAGGCCCUAGGGUUGUAAAGCUCUUUCAACGGUGAAGAUGAUGACGGUAGCCGUAGAAGAAGCCCCGGCUAACUCCGUGCCAGCAGCCGCGGUAAUACGGAGGGGGCGAGCGUUGUUCGGAAUUACUGGGCGUAAAGGGCGCGUAGGCGGCCAGUUGCGUUAGAUGUGAAAGCCCCGGGCUCAACCUGGGAGGUGCAUUUAAUACGGGCUGGCUUGAAUACGGCAGGGGAUGGUGGAAUUCCCAGUGUAGAGGUGAAAUUCGUAGAUAUUGGGAAGAACACCGAUGGCGAAGGCAGCCAUCUGGGCCGUUAUUGACGCUGAGGCGCGAAAGCGUGGGGAGCGAACAGGAUUAGAUACCCCCGUAGUCC
rnacentral:rRNA from 1 species